GCCGGUGUGGCUCAGCGGAUAGAGCCUCGGCCUGUACACCGAAGGGUCCCGGGUUCGAUUCCGGUCAAGGGCA
rnacentral:tRNA from 1 species